GAGGGGUGGGAUCCUGCAACCUCCUGUUGAUCACUUCCCUUACACGAGAGUCCAGACUCACCUAAAAGACAUAAAGACAGCAUUGUGAAUGCCAAGAAACAUAGUUAGGAUAAUAUUAAUUCAAAUGCUAAUGAAUAGGCUAGUCAUUUUAUGAUAAUGCUCAAGGUUAGGAAGGUCAAAAUGUAGAAUUAUGAUUAAUGACUUUUUAAAGCCUGGGAUAAACAGACUUUUGAAAGGUGCUUUUAAUCCUGAGUUGUGAAGGUCUGCUUCGAAUUUCAUAUGCUAGAAUCGGUUAACCAAUCAGAAACUGAACCACGCUUGCCUUUACUGAAAAUUGAUGCACUUUGUACAGUUGCAGAAUUGUUAACAAGCUGUUUAGUUUCAGCAGCUCAGGAAAACAAUAAAAAUGUUGUACAGUGACAUUUUGACCAACAAAUUUCAUUUCCACAAAAAAAUAUGAUGCAACAUAACCUAACAGCAACAUUGAUGAUAAUUAGAAAUGUUUCUUGAGCAGCAAACCAGCAUAUCAGAGUGAUUUCUGAAUGAUCAUGUGACACUUAAGACUGGGGUAAUGAUGCUGAAAAUUCAGCUUUGCAUCACAAGAAUAAAUUGCAUUUCUAAAAUAGAUUAAAAUAAAAAUCAGUUAUUUGAAAUUGUAACAAUAUUUCCACAAUAUUAGUGUUUUUAAUGUAUUUGCAAUCAAAUAAAUGCAACAUUGGUGAGCAGAAGAGAACAAGCAUAAAAGUAUCUCUUAAUAAAAAAAAAAAAAUUCUAAUCCCAGUUUUGAACGGCAAUGUACCUAAAAAAACAAUUCUUGGAUAUGUUUUCAAGUUUCAGUCCCAUGAAUCUCUUAAACUUUAUGAAGCCUGUACGCUAUUGGACGUGACUAUUGCGGACCUCUCUUUUACUUUCUUUCAUGACUCUAUAUAAGGAUUCCUUUCAUUCUCAUACCAGACACUCACAAGUGUACAAGUAUUGGAACUAGGAGCUGAGGUCAACAUAGAGCUCAUCCAUCUGAACUUACUGACUCCCACUUUCACUCUACGGCCCAAUUAUAUAACCGCUUUACAGUAGAGUCCGGCAGGGAUCAAUUUAUAGCUUCCUUUGCUCAACCUUUGCUCCUUUAUUUACUUCUAUAAAUUAUUUUUUCCUCAGCUGCCUCUUGCAAGUUGUGGAGUUUGAAGGUGUGAGUUCUGGCUCCGAGGAUGAAAAAGCCAAGAGGCACAUUCAGCAUGUCAACACAAUGAAUUAAACAGCAUACCAGCAGCACAUGUGCGCACAGAGAACACAAUGAUAGUGUGUACAAUACAUCCACACCCUGCUGUCUCACAUCGACAGGAGAUAAAACAUAAAAAAUCAUAAUAGAUAGCAGAAUCAACCGCCACAUAUGGUUCUAGAUGCCUGCAUCUCAGGAAAUGAGCCUUAUAAAACAUUAAGCUUCAAUCAUACAUUUGGCAGAAUUCCUUCACGCCUCGUUUCUUUGUCACACACAAAGUCUUAAAUGUUUACUUUCUUAACAUUUAGUGGUGUGAAGUUCAUGCCAAGCAUCCAAAUAAGUUUUUUUUUUAAGAUAAGGCCCCAGUCGCUUCUCAUUGGUGAGAAUGCAGCCAAUCACAGACCUGCACAUAGCCUGAAAUCUGCAUUCCACGGAGGAGAAACAAGACAGAGGUCCUCGCAGGCCAGCCAGAAGAGCAUGUUCUCCUCACUGUACUCCGUCCGCAGGAACUCACGGAACUUGUUCCGUCCUGCUGGGUUCUUCAUCAGCUUAUCGAAAGACUGCGCCCACUGUUUAAUAUCUUCUAUCGUCGGUUUGGGGCUGAGAGAGCGAGAGAGAGAGAGAGAGAGAGAGAGAGAGAGAGAGAGAGAGAGAGAGAGAGAGAGACAUUAGGUACGUUCACAUUCCUAACAAACAUAAUAGUUCAUGAUGACUUGGUUGAGAGAAACAGCUCAACCCUCAUGAUAAAAACAGUAUUCAAUGUAUGUGUGUGUUCUCACCAAGGUUCACAUGGAAAGGGCUCCAGCCUUGUCUCCUGGGCUUUCCUCUGCUCGCGCUUGUCAUCUUCACUCCUAACAGUGAGACUAGAAGGUGGUAAAAUGGCAUUGAGAAAUAACAGCAGUGCCUGAACAAAACAAAACAAUCUAGACACACACACAACAUUCUCACAUACAAUAUGAAAGGCCCUUCAACUUCAUGUUCAGGUCACCGUAGCCACCCAGAUCUAGUCCAUAUCCAGAUCAGAUGGUCAUUGCAGCCACCAGGAUCCAGCCCGUAUCCAGUCAAGAUGGUGGAUCAGCACCUAGAGGCGACCUCUAUAGCCCUGAAUGUCAUUGGAGACCAUGUCAACUAGAUGAGUCCCUGAGACAGAUCCCAUUUGAAGACCUUGUUGGCCAUUGGUACAAGGCCAGGAGAACCAGACGAGUCCUCUGCGCAAUCUGGCGUGCGUUGCAACCUGGAAUUAAACCACACAAUGCGGGUUUGGUCUGGCAAGGGGAGAAUUGGCCCCCCGACUGAGCCUGGUUUCUCUCAAAGUUUUUCUUCUCCAUUUCUAUUACUGAUGGAGUCUUGGUUCCUUGCCACUGUUGCUUUUGGCUUGCUAGCUUAGUUGGGGAACAGUUUUUUGGCAACAUUGUUGACUUGACUGCACAGUCACUAUUUGAAGAUAAUUGAAUUGAGCUGGACGGUGACAUCACUGAUUCAACAAUGAAUUGAGUUUAACUGAUAAACUGACUGCUUUCUAUUGUCCUCUUGCAUUAUCAGCACAGAUUUUUCCUGUCUAACAGUUUAAAGCUACUUUGACACAAUCUGUAUUGUAUAAAGUGCUAUAUAAAUAAAGGUCAAUGGACUUGACUAAAAAACUCCAAAAAAUCUGAAUCAGUUGGACAAUUCUGGUCAUGCUGUAUGGUUUUCAUUCACCAGAAAUCACCAGUUUAUAAAAGUCAUUCAUUUGGUAACUGUUUGGACUACAUUAGUUGCGCUGCAUGGCUUUGAAUCACUAAAAACAACUGUUCAUAAUUUGUUCACAAAUC